UACGGGGGGGGCAAGCGUUGUUCGGAAUGACUGGGCGUAAAGCGUGCGCAGGCGGCGCGUUAAGACAGGUGUGAAAGCCCCGAGCUUAACUUGGGAAUUGCGCUUGUGACUGGCGAGCUGGAGUGUGGCAGAGGGAGGUGGAAUUCCACGUGUAGCAGUGAAAUGCGUAGAGAUGUGGAGGAACACCGAUGGCGAAGGCAGCCUCCUGGGCCAGCACUGACGCUCAUGCACGAAAGCGUGGGGAGCAAACAGG
rnacentral:rRNA from 1 species